rnacentral:rRNA from 1 species
UUCCCUACGGGGGGCAGCAGUGAGGAAUAUUGGUCAAUGGGCUUACGCCUGAACCAGCCAAGUCGCGUGAGGGAAGACUGCCCUAUGGGUUGUAAACCUCUUUUGUCAGGGAGCAAUUGGCGCUACGUGUAGCGUUAUCGAGAGUACCUGAAGAAAAAGCAUCGGCUAACUCCGUGCCAGCAGCCGCGGUAAUACGGAGGAUGCGAGCGUUAUCCGGAUUUAUUGGGUUUAAAGGGUGCGUAGGCGGGCUGUUAAGUCAGCGGUAAAAGCCCGGGGCUCAACCCCGGCGAGCCGUUGAAACUGGG